UCCAUGAGUAAAGUGGCGCACGGGUGAGUAACACGUGACUAACCUACCCUUGAGUGGGGGAUAACCUAGGGAAACCUGGGCUAAUACCGCAUAAUACCUACGGGUCAAAGGAGCAAUUCGCUUUAGGAGGGGGUCGCGGCAGAUUAGUUAGUUGGCAGGGUAAUGGCCUACCAAGACGAUGAUCUGUAUCCGGCCUGAGAGGGCGCACGGACACACUGGGACUGAAACACGGUCCAG
rnacentral:rRNA from 1 species